rnacentral:rRNA from 1 species
UACAGAGGUCUCAAGCGUUGUUCGGAUUCAUUGGGCGUAAAGGGUGCGUAGGUGGUGAUGCAAGUCUGGUGUGAAAUCUCGGAGCUCAACUCCGAAAUUGCACCGGAUACUGCGUGACUCGAGGACUGUAGAGGAGAUCGGAAUUCCCGGUGUAGCGGUGAAAUGUGUAGAGAUCGGGAGGAACACCGGUGGCGAAGGCGGGUCUCUGGGCAUUUCCUGACGCUGAGGCGCGAAAGCGUGGGGAGCAAACGGG